AUUGAACGCUGGCGGCAGGCCUAACACAUGCAAGUCGAACGGUAACAGGGAUCAGCUUGCUGAUUCGCUGACGAGUGGCGGACGGGUGAGUCAUGUCUGGGAAACUGCCUGAUGGAGGGGGAUAACUACUGGAAACGGUAGCUAAUACCGCAUAACGUCGCAAGACCAAAGAGGGGGACCUUCGGGCCUCUUGUCAUCGGAUGUGCCCAGAUGGGAUUAGCUAGUAGGUGGGGUAACGGUUCACCUAGGCGACGAUCCCUAGCUGGUCUGAGAGGAUGACCAGCCACACGGGAGCGUGAACACGCACCAGACGCCUACGGGAGGCAGCAGUGGGGAAUAUUGCACAAAGGGGGCAAGCCUGAUGCAACCAUGCCACGUGUAUGAAAGAGGCCUUCGGGUUGUAAAGUACUUUCAGCGGGGAGGAAGGGAGUAAAGUUAAUACCUUGGCUCAUUGACGUUACCCGCAGAAGAAGCACCGGCUAACUCCGUG
rnacentral:rRNA from 1 species